UACGUAGGGUCCGAGCGUUGUCCGGAAUUAUUGGGCGUAAAGGGCUCGUAGGCGGUUCGUCACGUCGGGAGUGAAAACUCGGGGCUUAACCCCGAGCCUGCUUCCGAUACGGGCAGACUAGAGGUAGGCAGGGGAGAGCGGAACUCCUGGUGUAGCGGUGGAAUGCGCAGAUAUCAGGAGGAACACCGAUGGCGAAGGCAGGUCUCUGGGCAUUAACUGACGCUGAGGAGCGAAAGCGUGGGGAGCGAACAGG
rnacentral:rRNA from 1 species